ACCUAGAUAGCUCAGUCAGUAGAGCAUCAGACUUUUAAUCUGAGGGUCCAGGGUUCAAAUCCCUGUUUGGGCA
rfam:TPA: Bos taurus chromosome 16, whole genome shotgun sequence.